rnacentral:lncRNA from 1 species
AAAAAAACUGUGUUGGUGGUGAUAGUUAUGGGUGGUGGCAGACUUUAAACACAUUUCUUCAAUCCUUCUUUUCGAUUAAGCCUAUGUAGAUUGUGAUGACUCUGAUUGAGAACACCACCAAUAAAGGACUAUAUGAUCCUCAAAGCGGUGUCUCCCACACGUUUUCAGCCACCUGUUAGAACUUACAUUUCCAUUAGACGCCGAUGUGGCAGUGGAGGAGGCACAUGAAUGUUUUCCGUUUUGUGGCAGAGACAGAGGGAGUCGGAGAGGUGAGGAAUCACACGGUGUAGAUCCAACCCGGCGGCGUGACGAAGAUCAUGGUAAGGGAUAGUGAUCGUAGGAAUUCGUUUGAUCAGUUAGAGAUUUGUGG